UUUACGAGGUCAGGACACUGUGAGGAUUGACAGAUUGAAAGCUCUUUCUUGAUUCAGUGGGUGGUGGUGCAUGGCCGUUCUUAGUUGGUGGAGUGAUUUGUCUGGUUAAUUCCGUUAACGAACGAGACCUUAACCUGCUAAAUAGUCACGCGAACCGGUCCGCAAGGGCUCAAAGUUCGCGGCUCGACUUCUUAGAGGGACUAUUCGCACCCGCCAGCGAAUGGAAGUUUGAGGCAAUAACAGGUCUGUGAUGCCCUUAGAUGUUCUCGGCCGCACGCGCGUUACACUGACGGAGUCAACGAGCGUUUUUCCUUGCCCGACAGGGCUGGGUAACCUCCUGAAACUCCGUCGUGAUGGGGAUAGAUCAUCGCAAUUAUUGAUCUUGAACGAGGAAUUCCUAGUAGGCGCGAGUCAUCAACUCGCGCCGAUUACGUCCCUGCCCUUUGACACACCGCCCGUCGUCCCACACAAUCCCCU
rnacentral:rRNA from 1 species